AAAAAAUAAAAAACUAAAAUAGAAUUUUCACUGCGAUUUUUUCAACGGACAAAUUCAGAAUUAUACUUGAGUGAUUAACAUUGUUGUGUUUAUGAAUACUUUCAUAAUGUUAAAGGUGAUGACUAUAUAUAUAUAUUUUUUUUUAAUAAAUAAUAUUGUGUUGUGAACUAUGUAGUUCAAAUUAUGGUGAAUAAUGGUGAGAUAAAAUGUAAAACAUGUUCAUGCAUCAUUAUUAAGUCAUAACAUGUAAUUGGUGGAGAAUUUGGUGGAGUGGAUAAUCCGGUUAUAUGAACUGAUAUCCAAAAUUUGGUGGAGAUAAAAUGAUAUACCACAUGUAUUAGAGUUGCAUUAGGAAAUCCACGCAUAAUUGUUUUGAAUAUAUGUGAGGUGGAUAUAUGUAUUGGUUACUUGAUGAUUGUGCAUAUGAUAUUAUGAUGAAUGAAUAAAUGAUUAUUGUACGAAUUUAACUAAUGCCCAUCAUAUUUUGUUUAUUUACUUAACAUGGCUUGUAAUUAUAAUCUCACUCUUCUAUGGGUUUUGUAUCCGCAGGUAUUGAGCAAGAGUAGCUUUUGGUGAGCGUUAGCAAGGAUAAUGAAUGGAUUGUAUUCCAUUAGAUUCAACCCUAGGACCUUUUGUUUAGUAUUAAUCGAGUCCUUUGAUACUUGUAACACCGGAUUGAGUGUAAUUUAUUAGUUGAUGUUUUGAACUUAAUUAAAACUUGAAUUAUGUAUGAACUUGGUGAUGUAAUAGCUAUGACUAUAUUUAGCUUAUUUUGUAAGUCAUGAUUCUUAGGUACUGUUUGACCCGACUU
rnacentral:lncRNA from 1 species